GCCCGGGUGGCUCAGUCGGUUGAGUGUUUGACUUCAGCUCAGGUCACCAUCUCGCAGUUUGUGGGUUUAGCCCCACGUCGGGCU
rnacentral:tRNA from 1 species